UUUGAGCUCCUUUCGUUAUUUUUCUGUGUACAUUACUGGUGUUCUGUAGUAGAGAAACUGGUAGUUUAUCUGAACACAACACAAGUCUGCAAUCUUCUUUGCCUUCCUUGGUAGUACUUCGGUUAUGGGCUUUUUCGUGUGGCUGUACUGUUAUUGUAUGUGGUCAAAGCGGUGCCCAUGUUUCACAGUGGAAAACUCCAAAUCUCCACCGCUGCCACCACCGUUUCGCCCCUCUCCCCACUGCUCCCAUCUCUUCUCUUUCAUCUCCGUCGUUGCUCCCCCUCCCUGGCCGCGCCCUCCUCUCUCUCCCGAGACCGCUGACGACGUGGAGAAGGAUCUAGGGCCUCUCCUUCCCUUCCCGAGGUGGCUGGCGGCGCGGUUGAGGACCCGGCGCCCUACUCUUCUUCUCGACCUGUGCGGCCAUCCCCGUGGUCAAUCUUCUCUCUCAAGGGGAGGACGUGUGUGUGGUCGCCGGCGGAUCAGACGGACUGGAGUGGGGCAGCGCUCCAGCCUCCUCACCUGCAGCGCCGCCCCCCUCCCUGGCUGUCGUGGAAUCCCCUGCCGCAGUUCCUCCCUGUCGGCUCAGGACCGGAAGCGAGAAGGAGGUAGGUGCUGAUGUGGGAAUUUUCUGACUAUUAGAUGUUCAGCUUUGUCAUUUCGAUGCCUAAGAAGUGUUUGUUGUUAUGCCUACAAGAACUCAAUCCGUGGUAUUUUCAGAUUUCUCAUUUGGUGAUUUGGUCUUUGUGUGAUAGAGCAAUUUAUUCAACUGAUAACCUAUAUGCUUUGCAUGCAGUGCAUCUAGAAUUUCUUCUUGCUAGCCUUGAUAUCUUAUGGAUGUUGGGAGUCGUCUGAUGAUCUGAUUCUUUUCGCUGUGAGAUUCUGCAAUUAGAUAUUGCAGCUCAUUAUAUAGUCGAGCAUGGACAUAAUUGAAUGAUUACUAUCUUCUUAAACUAUGAUUUUUCUUGAUGAUAAUGGUUGGCAUUAUGCAUUGCAGAUUAGGCCUCAAGACUGAACUGGAUGUUCAGUUUAAAAGAUGCAUACGCAGCUUGGAAUUAUUUUUGUGGCACUUUAUGUAUGACUUUGUCUUUACUAUGAUUGCCUUGACUACUGUUGCUCAUCUUACCAGUCGCCACUGCCCGCAUGCAUCUGCAAAGUAUCAGAUGUUGCCGUGGAUCCGCUUGAGAACAGCGACUGAUCCAUGCCUCUGCACCCUGUCCAUUUCAGAUUACAGGUUAUCACUUUCCCCUUCUUCCACUGGCUUUAUACUAUAAGCAGAGAGCCUGUAUGGUUUUUGCUCUAAAUGCCGGCUUAAGAAAGGCGAGUGGGCUUCUUAAGAGGACAAUCUUUAAUGUAAGGUGAGAGUAAUAUGUACAGUGAAAGGCGACCAUGUAGAACGUAUGUGAUGUAUUUCUGCAGGUUUAGAACACACUUUUUGUAGAUAUACAGAAACAACUAACUGCACGAACAUGCCAUGUGAACUGUAGAGAAACCCUUCUGUGAUUUGAGUGUUGCUUUGCUCUAUAGAUUAUAUUUUCAUGUGGGGAGAUGUGUACAUUCAGGUCCAGGCACCUAAAACUGCUACUGAUUGGUUUCUGUGGCACAUCCCUUUACAUAUUCAUAUAUUUGUGUCUAUUUGUCUCACCAGAACUGCUAAUUAGGAUAUAAUAUAUUAUUUGUCGUACAAAUUCGUGCAGUGAAAUGAAUAAAUCAUUCCAAUAGAUACACUUUUAAUUUAGAGAUGAGAUCACCUAAAUUCAUAGCACUGCAUAUCUCUGCAACAGUUUCCAUUAGUCAUCCCUAUAACGGCACUUUUUUGUUAAGAGAUGAAAUCACCACGAUUCAUAUGUAAUAUAUUUUUACAUCUAUAAUUCUGAAUUUGCAGCAAGCCUUAGUGGUUACAUAUAUAAUUAUAACAAAUUUGGAAAUCGGCGUCCGUUGGUGAUCUGCUAUUACCAAAGUUCACUUCAAGCGGGCGAUUUCUCGCUAUUUUUUCAUCUCAAUUUUCUUUUCAAGGAACUCGGUAUAUGCGAAGUCAUUAUGGCGGAUGAGAGAUCAGGUUUUUUUUGGUAACACACCUACCCUGGAUGCGCUCAAAUAAUGGUUCUGGGUACAUAUGGCUUAGUUUCAUACAAUUAUGAACCUCAAUAGUUUUCUGAUGCGGAUACUUCCCGGACAUAUACAUGUGCCUUAGGAAGCAUGAGAACAACAAAACAUUGCCAGUAUCCAUAUGUCAUGGCUGUUUUAUAUGUUUUUUCGCAAUCGUGUGAUUUUAGAGAGCCUUUUUGUAGGACAAAACUAAAAUUUAAGCAAAUCAUAUGUGUUCAGAGGCCAGUAAAGAAUGCUGCCCUUGACUACUCCCACCGGUCCAUAUUACUUGCCUCUAAUAUGGAUGUAUCUAGAACUAACAUGUGUUUAGAUACAUCUAUGUUAGUGGCAAGUAAUAUGGAUCAGAGGGAGUACCAUUUUCAGUUCUCUUUAAUUUCUAUUUGUUCAGAGAUAUCUGAUGUCCUUGGUCAUGUGUACUGAUAUUAUAUCUAUAUUCGAAUGUAAGGAAGUGUUGUAUUCCUAGCAUGGGUUGUUAGCCUCCUUGACCAUACUAAGUACUGACUAGGAUAAUCCUGGUAUUAAUUUUUUAGUGCAAUUUACAUGUGCCACGAACUUCCGUUCAAUCCUUGUGUCUUCCAAGUUCUAAGUAUAGUUAUUUACUAACAGUGCACAUUUGCUUUUGUUGAGACUGGUGAGACAAUUGUUCUUCAUACUAUUAUGGAUGGUUCCCAUAUGACAAGGUAAUCUAUGAGAAAUCUCAAUUUCCCAAAUCAUUGUUAUACUAUUUUUGAGAUCAAUACUGUAACCAGAAAUUUCGGUUAUCUAGAUGGAUAAAUUUAUACUUGUUUUAGGUGAAAAUAGCGAUGCCAUUGUGUUUCCAUAGGUAUUUGCUAAAUUCUCCAAAGGGGGAUUUGAGAGAGGGUUGUAGGCACCAUUGUUUGGCCCCGAAGCUAUUUCCGAUCAGUGCCAACCACUCCUCAUGACUUGCAAACACCAAGAUCUCACCUCCAGCAACAUGUAAACUAACCUGAAAAAUAGAAGGAAAUAAGUAUUCAAACUGAUGAAGUAGACAGUCUGCAUCGAGGUAUCUAUUAUGUGAGCACCUGCCAUCGAAAAUACCAUGUAAAAUGUUAUCCUUCUACCUACUGAUUUAGCAAGUCUAAACACAAUAAAUGUGUUGCAAUAUCCAUCCCUUAAGUAUCCAUGUAAUGCCACACUUUUUUUUUAUCCACAUACCUAGUGCUGUAGAAAUCCCGCAAACUACCAAUGAACCCUAGCAUCAAGUAGCUAAGUAUCCAUGUAUAAUCUUUUUGUACUUGAUUUUGGUCCUAAUGUGCUUAAGUUUCCUAUUUCAUUGAUGUUUUGAACCAUCAAUAACUGAGAUGGGAUUUCCGGUUGGUUUAGCAUCACAUGAAUUAUGCCUCAAUAUGUAGAGUAUUCAAAUAAAUCAUGACUUCGAGGUAUGCCACCUUUUUCUUUUGUUUUUGUUUUGAUUAACUAACUUCUAAACCUACUCAUUCUGGCCUUGCUUCAGUUGCUUUACAUCCAU